GAUGAACGCUGGCGGCGUGCCUAACACAUGCAAGUCGAACGAAGCACUUUUUUACGAUCCCUUCGGGGUGACGGAUUUGUGACUGAGUGGCGGACGGGUGAGUAACGCGUGGGAAACCUGCCUUGUACCGGGGGAUAGCAGUUGGAAACGACUGAUAAUACCGCAUAAGCGCACAGUAUCACAUGAUACAGUGUGAAAAACUCCGGUGGUAUGAGAUGGACCCGCGUCUGAUUAGCUAGUUGGCGAGGUAACGGCCCACCAAGGCAACGAUCAGUAGCCGACCUGAGAGGGUGACCGGCC
rnacentral:rRNA from 1 species